rnacentral:misc_RNA from 1 species
UGUCCGAAUCUCACCCGGCUGAAGCUCCGCGCGUGCCGUGAGCUCACCGAUGCCGGCAUGACCGCCCUGGCCCGGAAUUGCAAAGCUCUCCGCAAGCUAUCCUGCGGCUCCUGCACGUUUGGAUCCCGCGGGAUCGACGCCGUCCUCCGCGGCUGCCCCCUUCUGGAAGAGCUCUCCAUCAAGCGUCUCCGUGGGUUAUCUGAUGCCGGAUCUGAUCCGGUCGGACCGGGAGUUGCCGCCGCCUCGCUGCGGUCGAUCUGCCUCAAGGAGCUGUACAACGGCCAGUGUUUUGCCCCGCUCAUCGCCGGUGCCACCAAUCUCCGCACGCUGAAACUCUUCCGCUGCUCCG